AGUAAAUAGAUACCCCGGUAGUCCACGCCGUAAACGAUGUCGACUUGGAGGUUGUGCCCUUGAGGCGUGGCUUCCGGAGCUAAACGCGUUAAAGUCGACCGCCUGGGGAGUACGGCCGCAAGGUUAAAACUCAAAUGAAUUGACGGGGGCCCGCACAAGCGGUGGAGCAUGUGGUUUAAUUCGAUGCAACGCGAAGAACCUUACCUACUCUUGACAUCCAGAGAACUUAGCAGAGAUGCUUUGGUGCCUUCGGGAACUCUGAGACAGGUGCUGCAUGGCUGUCGUCAGCUCGUGUUGUGAAAUGUUGGGUUAAGUCCCGCAACGAGCGCAACCCUUAUCCUUUGUUGCCAGCGGUUAGGCCGGGAACUCAAAGGAGACUGCCAGUGAUAAACUGGAGGAAGGUGGGGAUGACGUCAAGUCAUCAUGGCCCUUACGAGUAGGGCUACACACGUGCUACAAUGGCGCAUACAAAGAGAAGCGACCUCGCAGAGCAAGCGGACCUCAUAAAGUGCGUCGUAGUCCGGAUUGGAGU
rnacentral:rRNA from 1 species